CAAACAAACAAACAAAACAGAAAAACAGUAGUCAAAAACGUGUAACUUAUCAUAAUCACCUUCAAUUUCAUCCUGGUUUUCUUUUGCUGUAACUUCAAAAGGCUUUUUCCAGAUUAGUGUCUGGAUGGACAAACAAUGUGCUGGAUUGAUGAGCAGCACGUUUCUCCUUCAAUGAACUGAACCUUUGCUUUCAUUCUUAAGUGGAAUACGGACUGCAGCCCAUCACACCAGUUUAACAUGAAGAUGAGAAGGACGAGGUGAAGCUGAGCUCUGGCCUGAAGAGGUAUUACGUCAAUGUUUGUUAGCAGAGAGAAUGACAUUCUUCUUUAUAUUGUGGCAACCCACGAAGCAGCACCCUGGACAGCGCCUCAAGAGAUCAGCACCAAGGUCUGGGGCACCGACGAGCCAGAGGUCAGGAAGGGGACUGAAGGCCGAACAGCCUGUUGAACCGAGCCCUCAAAAGAGGAAGAACCUAUUUUGCCCUUUUCCCUUUUUUUGUAUGUCAAAAUAAACCGUACCCUUUU